ACAAGAAUCUUUUACGUUUCCAGGUCCUUCUUGAACGUGGAUUUGAAGUUAGUCCAUUGAAAUGGUGUUUCCAGAUACAUCUAGGAUCUUUGACCCACUGUGCCUUUGCCCGUGGGCUGGAUCUAAACCCUAGGCAGGUCCUGUCCCCUAGCUGGUGGCCCACAGCAGGGGUGGAAGCACGUCCUGACAUCAAAUCCUUCCUGGAGAAGCACCUCUGGGAGGAUGGACCCAACCACCAAAAUCGCAUGGAAAGAGGUCGGUGCUGCAAACUCCCCGGGCUGACCGAACGCCAGGUGCCGUCUCACUGCAUUUGGACAGAUGGGGCUGAUGAUGGCGCGUGGCUGACUUAGAUUCACCAGUGUGGGCUGUCAUGGAGCAGAACUCCAAAAGCCUUGUCAACCACUUUGGAAACCAGAUCCUGGGGACUUCAAACUCAGCUUCAGAUUUAAGCAGGGACUGAUGUCACACAGUCUGGGGCAGUGGGAGAACAAGUCGGAACAGGAUGCCAUUCCCAGGGCAGACUCAACAAGUGAGGCCAAGCCUUUAGAUGUUCUCCCUGCCAAAUACUGCUGGGCACCAACUGCCACCCAAUCCCCCAAAGCUCUAUCAUCAAGCUGGAGGAAAAAAAUCUGGGAGAACCAAAUUGUGUCUCUCUGCAAUGCACAGGAAGGUUAUAGGGUCCUACCAAGAAAAGCCCAGUGACCACACUGUGGCAGUCCUGGCCAGCCCAGGCUGUGGCUAGUCUUGCAUGACUUGGAGAUGCUUUUGUUGUGCAGUCUAGUCCUGGGCCAUGACAAAGGCAUAAGAGACAGAUCUCUCGGAGUAAGAACUCCAAGGGUCUCAGAGAAGCCUUAGCAAGCAGAAGGGAGGCCCAGAUGGGUAGGAUCAAAAGCUGUACCCUCUGCAGAGCUGGAGGGACCAGCAUCUGUGUAUUCCCUGUGCCGUUUCAUGGACAGAGGAACAGAGAAACUGCUCAGUAUUGCCCACCCUGCAAAUCAGUGGGUGCAAGGAAGUUGAGGAUCCAGGUGAGCUGUCUGCUUGCUAACAUCUGAGAAGCACCACGCCAAGCAAACAGGCGGAAAGCAUCAACGUAGCAGCUGCUGUCAUGGUGAAAGCCCGGAUAUGAUGAUAACCCAGAAGGGGGCCAGGUAAGCAAAGCAAGGCUAAGAGAGGCUAAGAAACUUGCACAAGAUCACUCAGUGAGCAAGCGGUGGUGCCUGCAUUUGAACCUCACCUUGCCUCGCUCCCACACCCUUUCUCAGACCACCCCCACGAGUGUGUCCAAAGUGGGUUCCGUGGAGCAACAGCUUCGUGCAAUAUUCUAGAUAAGAGGACUCUGGUGAAAAACAGCUUGGGAAGCACUGCACCUAGCUCUUAAAGGACCACAUUGCACAUUAGGUUAAAGGCUGGAAAAGCCUGUUUAGCUUUGCUAUUCCAGUACUUUCCACACUUAUUUGACCACAAAAGGACAUCGAGUUCUGUGAAACCCACUUGGGGAACCCUGCUGCCCCCCAUCAAGAACAACAAGCCCUGCCAUGCUCACUCCACAAAAAUUGCUGAGGUGAUUAAACACAACAGCAGAUACGACUCUGCUUUGAAAAACACCUAAUGCGUGAUCCUGGCAUAAGGCAUUAUUAAUAGUAUUAUUAAGCAACAAUGGACUAAGCCCCUGCUUCUCACAGAGAAAAUGGAUCAGAGCUUCUGAAAUACGAUGGCUGCUGCCUGGCCAAUGCGGAGCGGCCCGCUUUAAUGUUAAGCGUGGCAGAAAGAUGAAAGAGAUUCGAGUCUUGGAGAUUUGGGAAGAUGAAAGGGGACAGGAGAUUGGAUGUGGAUUUACAAAAGCAAGAAAUAAAGGAAGAGGCUGAAGGUGA